GGCCCAAGUUUGAAGUAGAGUAGAUAGGAGGAUCAUCUGCCCCUACUAAACUACUUCACUUCGAGUUUGUGCCC
rnacentral:pre_miRNA from 1 species